UACGGAGGGGGCUAGCGUUAUUCGGAAUUACUGGGCGUAAAGCGCACGUAGGCGGCUUUGUAAGUUAGAGGUGAAAGCCCGGAGCUCAACUCCGGAAUUGCCUUUAAGACUGCAUCGCUAGAAUUGUGGAGAGGUGAGUGGAAUUCCGAGUGUAGAGGUGAAAUUCGUAGAUAUUCGGAAGAACACCAGUGGCGAAGGCGACUCACUGGACACAUAUUGACGCUGAGGUGCGAAAGCGUGGGGAGCAAACAGG
rnacentral:rRNA from 1 species